UAAACAAUCUAGGGCCCCAUACACAGAUGCCAUUGUUGACUCAUUUAUAUAACAUUCAUAAAGUAGCACUAUGAUUUUUCAUGCUACAUCAACUCUCAGUUUCAGGAAUGUAAUGAAUGAUUAUUAAAGGUGAGCUGCAUGGCUGAGCAGCUUGUCAAUCUUGAUUUACACAGUAAGAAUGAUACAUUAUUAGCAUAGGACUAUUAUAGAAGUAAGAACUUAAAACCUGCGUUACAAUUCUAUUCCUCCCACCAUUUGGGCAUCCAGUGAGAAGCUGAAGAUGGCAUGCAAAUCCUGAUAAUCUACUCACUCCAUAUCCAAGGGGACUUGGGGAGAAUCUGAGGUGGCACCUGUGGUGGAGUGGACAAUGUUGGACUUGGAGUUCAAAGUCAUCUCCAGAUCCUGAUACUGUUGUUUGCUUGUCCCAUGACCCAUAGGUAGAGGAUUUAAUUCUGUAAAAGCAGUCUUCUCUGCAAAAUGGGAAUAGAACUGUCUAACUCACAUGGUUAUUGUUGGUGCUAGAACAACACCAACAACAUUACAUCCUGAGUCCCAGAACAUAAAUGCUACCCCGAAUGAACUUUUAUAGACUGUUUAUAGUCCAUGUGAUGACAUAAUAGAUGAUCUCCCUACCUGAUGUGACUGGAAUGGUAUGGAGACAGCCACUCUGCAAUGUUGACUCAAAGAUCCACUACAUUAUAAUGCUCCAAGAAGAUAAGGAACACAUGUAUUUUGUCUACUUCUGAAUAUCCAAGAUUUUACCGGGUACCUGACAUACAGUAAGUACUAUAUAAAGACAUUAUUUGAACAACUUCUUUGAGAAAACCUCAAUUGAAUGCAUUUAUGGAAAAUAAGUUCUAGAUAUCUAUGUACAACAUUGUGCCUAGAGUCAGCAAUGCUAUGCUGUGCACUUGAAAAUUUGUUAAGAGGAUAGAUCUCAUGUUAAGUGUUCUCAUGAAACAAUCCCUGAUAAAUGCAAAUAUCUAUUAAAUAAUUAAUGUCUUGGUUCAUAAUAAUCAAUCAAAUUAACUUCACUUAGCAGUAUCCUAAGGGAAUGGGGCAUAAUUUUGAUGAAAGGAGGUUUAGAGCAUGGGA
rnacentral:lncRNA from 10 species